AUUGAACGCUGGCGGCAGGCCUAACACAUGCAAGUCGAACGGUAACAGGAAGAAGCUUGCUUCUUUGCUGACGAGUGGCAGACGGGUGAGUAAUGUCUGGGAAACUGCCUGAUGGAGGGGGAUAACUACUGGAAACGGUAGCUAAUACCGCAUAACGUCGCAAGACCAAAGAGGGGGACCUUCGGGCCUCUUGCCAUCGGAUGUGCCCAGAUGGGAUUAGCUAGUAGGUGGGGUAACGGCUCACCUAGGCGACGAUCCCUAGCUGGUCUGAGAGGAUGACCAGCCACACUGGAACUGAGACACGGUCCAGACUCCUACGGGAGGCAGCAGUGGGGAAUAUUGCACAAUGGGCGCAAGCCUGAUGCAGCCAUGCCGCGUGUAUGAAUAAGGCCUUCGGGUUGUAAAGUACUUUCAGCGGGGAGGAAGGGAGUAAAGUUAAUACCUUUGCUCAUUGACGUUACCCGCAGAAGAAGCACCGGCUAACUCCGUG
rnacentral:rRNA from 1 species